GGACACAUGACGUGUGACAUGUCAUGAUUCCCUUUUAUUUCAGAAGUUUGGUCCUUAAGGGGUUAAAGCUUAGACAUGAGUAACUUUAAUCACUUGUGGGUUAGUAAUAUGGUAACUAGGCCUACAUGAGGAGAAGAUAGUUAAAGGCAAGGCAUGCAUGUUAAAGAAGUCAUUUUGACCUAUAAUAAGACAAUCUUAGCUGGCUAAAAGAGGGGAAGUUCCACCGGGACUGCACCGCAUAGGGUAGGAAUGGCACAGUGCAAUGCGUAAUAAAAAAAAAUAACAGUUACAGGGAAGCAUAUUCUACUCAUGCAGUUAAACGGC